GAUGAAGAACGUAGCGAAAUGCGAUACGUAAUGUGAAUUGCAGAAUUCAGUGAAUCAUCGAGUCUUUGAACGCACAUUGCGCCCCCUGGUAUUCCGGGGGGCAUGCCUGUCCGAGCGUCAUUGCUGCCCUCAAGCACGGCUUGUGUGUGGGGCCUCCGUCCUCCUCCCGGGGGACGGGCCCGAAAGGCAGCGGCGGCACCGCGUCCGGUCCUCGAGCGUAUGGGGCUUCGUCACCCGCUCUUGUAGGCCCGGCCGGCGCUUGCCGACACAUCAAUCUUUUUUCCAGGUUGACCUCGGAUCAGGUAGGGAUACCCGCUGAACUUAAGCAUAUCAAUAAGCGGAGGA
rnacentral:misc_RNA from 1 species